rnacentral:rRNA from 1 species
AGUGAACGCUGGCGGCGUGCUUAACACAUGCAAGUCGAGCGAUUCUCUUCGGAGAAGAGCGGCGGACGGGUGAGUAACGCGUGGGUAACCUGCCCUGUACACACGGAUAACAUACCGAAAGGUAUGCUAAUACGGGAUAACAUGAGAGAGUCGCAUGGCUUUCUUAUCAAAGCUCCGGCGGUACAGGAUGGACCCGCGUCUGAUUAGCUAGUUGGUGAGGUAAUGGCUCACCAAGGCGACGAUCAGUAGCCGACCUGAGAGGGUGAUCGGCCACAUUGGAACUGAGACACGGUCCAAACUCCUACGGGAGGCAGCAGUGGGGAAUAUUGCACAAUGGGCGAAAGCCUGAUGCAGCAACGCCGCGUGAGCGAUGAAGGCCUUCGGGUCGUAAAGCUCUGUCCUCAAGGAAGAUAAUGACGGUACUUGAGGAGGAAGCCCCGGCUAACUACGUGCCAGCAGCCGCGGUAAUAC